rnacentral:rRNA from 1 species
AUACGAAGGGGGCUAGCGUUGUUCGGAAUUACUGGGCGUAAAGCGCAUGUAGGCGGACAUUUAAGUCAGGGGUGAAAUCCCGGGGCUCAACCUCGGAACUGCCUUUGAUACUGGGUGUCUAGAGUGUGGAAGAGGUAAGUGGAAUUCCGAGUGUAGAGGUGGAAUGCGUAGAUAUUUGGAGGAACACCAGUGGCGAAGGCGGCUUGCUGGGCCGGAACUGACGCUGAGGCACGAAAGCGGUGGGGAGC